CCUACGGGUGGCAGCAGUGAGGAAUAUUGGUCAAUGGACGCAAGCCUGAACCAGCCAUGCCGCGUGCAGGAAGACGGCUCUAUGAGUUGUAAACUGCUUUUGUACGAGGGUAAACGCAGAUACGUGUAUCUGUCUGACAGUAUCGUACGAAUAAGGAUCGGCUAACUCCGUGCCAGCAGCCGCGGUAAUACGGAGGAUUCAAGCGUUAUCCGGAUUUAUUGGGUUUAAAGGGUGCGUAGGCGGGCGGAUAAGUUAGAGGUGAAAUCCCGAGGCUCAACUUCGGAAUUGCCUUUGAUACUGUUCGGCUAGAGAGUAGUUGCGGUAGGCGGAAUGUAUGGUGUAGCGGUGAAAUGCUUAGAGAUCAUACAGAACACCGAUUGCGAAGGCAGCUUACUAAGCUACUUCUGACGUUGAGGCACGAAAGCGUGGGGAGCAAACAGGAUUAGAUACCCGGGUAGUC
rnacentral:rRNA from 1 species